GCUGGGUGUGGUGGCGGGCACCUGUAAUCCUAGCUACUUGGGAGGCUGAGGCAGGAGAAUUGCUUGAACCCAGGAAGAGGAGUUUGCAGUGAGCCAAGAUUGCACCACUGCACUCCAGCCUGGGUGACAGAGGAAGACUCUGUCUCGG
rnacentral:SRP_RNA from 1 species